ACUUGCUUUUCACCAAGCGUUUUCUUGUUCCGGUGCAGUAAUGUGUAAACUUGCCCUUGCGUAGGUGUCGAAGCUUAGAAAUGCUGGUUUUAGGUUAUUCGAUAAUAGAGAUGUUGAGAGAGGCUUGCAAGAAAUCGGAGCAGGGACGUAAUGCACGCAGUUGGGACAUGAAUUAGGCGAUUACAAACAAAGGUUACAUUUAGGAUUGUUUGUGAUUUCUUCGCGGUUCCUGCAGUGAUCAGAUUUGUGUGGGGCAGCAAGUCAUUGCGUCCAUCCUUCCAUAUUCCUGUUACGGAUGGCAGAGAAUUAGUGGUGAAGUGUGAUGCAGACACAGACUGCUCUCGCGGGGACCUGAGCGAUAAAUUGUUCUUCUCGUUGAAGGCUCGGUGGCCAUGGCGGAUGUUCAGCCUGGGGGUCGUAGUCCCAAGACUUCUGGAUUGUCUUGAGAUUGUUCUGGAUUCCGCUGGUUACCUUUAAAGCUUCUUUUGAAGCAUGUGUAGUUUUUUUUUUCUAUUUCAAGUAUGAUCUUUGCGUGCGGGCGCUAUGAUGUCUUAAUGGCCGUUUGUAACUCAAUGAGGCUAGCUCCUCAUUGAAGAGUCUUUGAACUUUUGCUAUAGACAUUUCAAGGCCACAAUGAGGCUAAAAUGCCAUGGAGUUGUUAGAUAUCUUAAGAGCCUUCUACCUGUUCCGCACCUUGAUUGCUUUGCUGACGAAUUAUUUAGCUGCGAUGGAACCAAGUCUUUCGAUAAGGUUUUGCCAUUGGAGAUACUUGCUACUCAUUUGCGAUCUUCCGACACAAGAGUCUAUGUGGCUGAAGAAAUUGAUAUCAUGUGCCCAAGUAGGUUAGCAGAGCAGUUCAUAGGUUACCUACUUCCUCAAUCAAUACCUAGCUGCGUCCUCGGUGGCGUUACAGAUUUGGUUUCUCCAUCGAAAGCAUGUGCAUGGUUCGAAGACAUGGAAAUAGAUUCUCUGAUCGUGACGAGAGAAAUCGAACCGUACAUGCUAGACCUGCUUGAGGUUUGGCGGUUCAAUGAGAGUCUGAGCCUGGAUAUUUUGCAAAAUUAUAUUCAUUUCACCAAGGACUUUGAGUGCCUCAAAUUGGUUCAGUACGUGAUCGAACCGGGGCAAAACGCUACUCCUACUGUACGUGAUGAAGACUGUAAUCAGGGGAGUGUUAUGCAUGAUAUGCUGGCUGAUGCAGGUUGCAAUUUGAAGGAAACGAAAACCAUGCAUAAUAAUACUGUAGAAGCUUCUGAACUCAAACCCCUUGACCAAGAGUCGCUUCUGGAGCAGUAUUCUGGUCAAAUCAUUCGCAAUAGGGAAUUGAAGGAUAAUGCUAAGAACCACGCUGAAGCAGUUGAUUCCGAAUCCCACAUCGAGCUUUUAACCGAACUUCUACACUUUGACCCCAGGGCUUUCCUAUUGGACAAAAUGAGUAUUAAGCCAAAUAUUGAACACAACGAACUUCAGUCUGCUAUUUCGCCCUCAUGUACAGCCCGUUGUUUGAGUUUGUUGGACGAGAACUCAGUUGACGCGGACACAGAAGCUGUUACCAAACACCCUACCAUAAAUACAGUGAAAGUUCUGUUUGAACUUCCAGAAGUUCUUGAGGAAGAAUUUCUGAUCACGUCUUAUACCUUAUAUCUUGGAGCUUACGUUACCAUAUUAAUGAAGCCGCUUUUCAUUGAACUUGAGGAAUUGGAUUCCCGAGAGACUCCUAUUCAGGGUUUUGAAAGAUUAUUAGUUCUUCCUGAGUUAACAUUAGAUCCCUCUAGCUUUCAUUUGCUGCCAGAACCUUCUUUCAUUCCAGGAUAUGAAGCACAUUUGAGUGAAGACGUGUUUAAGAAUCUUGUCCGAGCAAAAGCCUCACCAACUGCCACAUCUGCUAGCGAUUGCUUGUAUCUGGAUUGGCAUUUGUCUCAAAUGGGACAUUGUAACAAUUAUAAAUGCUUCCAUCUCCAGAGGAGAUUGGUUGAAAAUGAGUUUCGAUUGACAGUUCCUGGAAAUUUAAAUCUAGGAAAAAGAAUCCCUGACCAUCAGCUAUUACCAAUGCUCAUUUCGGAUGACGACUCUAAGUCUUCGUGUGAAGGUGAUACAGAGUGUUGUUACAACACCGUGGAGGAGAAUUCUUCGGCUAAUUUAAAUUCUUCCGCAUCAGACUCCAUGCUCAAUUCCAACAGUUUUGUGUACACAGCUGCUAAAGCAGUAAACAAUUAUCACUCGGAUCAAGCAGUAUUGACGGAAGAAAGGAACGACUCGAUUCCAGUAAGAGUCCAUCAGAUUCUUCAAGCAGGAUUCAGUCCUACUGCGAUGGAUAGUGUCCUCACAUUUAUGAAACAUGCCAGGCAGGGGGCUCCAUCAAGAGACACAAAAUGGAUGCAAUUACAAGAAAACCUUGACUUCAAGGAGAAUCAUCAAGGCUCAUGCAACACCAAAGACCAAUCCCGCAAUUCCAACUUGUUUUAUGAAGAUGUCUUGAAAUCUACAUCAGGUGAGAAGAUCUCCGCACCAAAUCCAUCGUGCUCUUCAGGACUGGAUGCAGCUUCGAGUUACGAUCUCAAAACCUCCGACCAUAUUCAGCGUGAAUCACAAAUGCCAAUAUCUACUCCUUUGUGCUCCCCCAAAGAUUCACUUAAAAAUGGGAUCAAAUCAGCAACCCCUCUUCAAACAACGCUUGCAGAUCAGUUGAACACUCUGCAAUCGGAAGUGGAAAAUCUAGUACAGUCGGCGGAAGAACAUGGACCUCAUAUCAUAAUCGUCGUAAAUGUUCUACAACAGAACACGUCAAUACUUUUGCAAAGAAGAAAUUCGUACCAGAAAAUCCUUGGUCUUGAAAAUGAAGACUUACAAGUUGUGGAGAGGGAGAUGAAUCUCCCUGUGGAUCUCUUGCUGGAUCCAUCAACAUGCUUGACCAUUUACACUGAGGAGAAGCUGCGCUCAUAUAUUCGCAGUUCUGAAGUCACCGACGAGUUAUUUUCGUGUGCUGUGGAUAGCGUUGUUAAUUGCCAUAUGAAGAUCCUCAGCUUAUCUUUUCAGAGAUGGUUUAUGAUUUUUGAAGGAGGUCUGGAAUUCAAUUCGGCUAUUCUUCGUAUCAUGAACAAGCUCUACAAAGAUUCUGCUGGAUUCCAGAUACAUGCGGAAGGUUUCAUCUCUAAAAAUCCAUUAGACACAGAUUCUCUGGUCCUGAGCUGCAUUAAAGGCAUCUGGAAAAUGUCUAAGAGAUCCUUCGAUUCACCGAUGUCCGAAGACCUGACUGAAGUUGAAUCCUUUCUGACAAACUUCCCAUCACUCAAUCCGCUAUCUUCACACGCAAUACUGUGCCUUAAUAUUCCUAUCGCUACAUUCAUUUCAUGGCCACUCGAAAAACAAAUUUUCGCUCUCCAUGACUUCAACAUACGAGAAGAAAGCCUGGAAUUGUUACAAACUCAGUUUUUGAGCUUGCAUGGAAAGUUGGAGGUUGCAACUCAGCAAGGGCUUUUAAGCGCGUGUCCAUGGCCAGCUGCGUCGGAUAUUGUUGCUUCGGAGGUUGAAAGCCAUGGCAAUGAUGGUUUUAUGUUCUUCCCACCCGCGUCGGAGAUUGUGAACUGCGAGGUUGACGAGGACCGUCACACUGUGGCUUCAAGAGAGAGAUGUAGUGAUCUGUAUUCCCCCAGUCCCCGCGAUUCUAUCUUACUUCAUCCUAAAAUAAAGCAGAUGCGAAGUUGCUUCUUAAGUGGCGAACGUCUGUCAACUCAUAAACUUGCACAACGACCAAGUUACGUCGAAGACAAACGUGACUGCACUAAUCCAAAUGAUGUGCAUGACAUUUCACAUCGAUGGAUUAGAAAACGUGAAAGAGAUAUUGAUAAGAAUAAGAAUUGCUCAGAACUGGAGUCCGAACUUCUCUGUAACCCACUCAAAGUUCCAAAUCAAAAGUUGUACAAUGAACGGUCCCCCAUCAACAAGGUACCUACUUCGGGAAAAUCUACAGCUGAAGCAUUCAGCUCAAAUUACCGAGGUCACGCCACCGAUGAACUCCUGUUGUUCCCAAUGCGAAAGAGACUUUUUUUGGAUCUCCAAGGGGGGGUUACUUCUGCAUCGCAAUCACAGAACAAGAAGUUGAAACCAACAUCCUCAACUAACCCUCUCAUGAGUAUCAGACCCUCUUCUCAGAGGCACGACUCGUUGAAUACCUUGAGACAGUCUUGUAUCAAAUUCAACUCCCCUUUCAGACGCUCGGUUUGAGAAACUGCACAAAGAUACCUGGGCCAGCCACUCACUACGUUCCCAAAAAAUCACUAGAAUUGUAGUGUGAAAGCUUCACCGACAUUCUAAAUAUCUAAUAGCAAUGCUGCUCGUGACAUGUCUUCAAAUCCUAUUUUAAGCUUAGGCGUAGGGUUUCAGGGUGAAAUUUGCAUCCUCUAGUAAACUUGCAUAUUGUGAUCACUUGAUUGGUCAUGUGGAAAGUGCAAGAUUGGACUCGAUUUGUUCCUGCGUAUUUUAACACGUGAGAACAUGUUGAAGGUAAAUUGCGCAACGGGAGAAGAAUCUUCAAAAAGAGGUAUUAUUUCAGACGAAGUUCAGUCUAACUGAUUUGGCAAAGCACAAAGGACGUUCUCGAUGUCCUAGCCACCUCUCACGCAUGAGAUGCCCAUUAAAAGAGGCCCGCUCAGCAUGACAAAAGAUUUUACUGCUGUUACUUACGGUCUUAAUAUUCCGCCAGAAUAUGAAUGAUAUACUUCAUUGCUUUGAGUGACAGAGAUAAAUGUGUUGGAACUGUUUACAAUCUUCACAAGAGAACAUAGAAAAGUUAUGGAGGCACAUCGAUCUGGAGAACGGAAUCAAUUAACAGCAUACAAACUAACGCAACAAUGCAAGGUGAUGUUUGAUUGUCAAUUCUGAGCUUAAGGGGGUGGAGAUCAUAGAUACAAGAAGCCGGUUUUGGGAACCGCAUAUUCAAAAGUUUAGGGGAUCGGCCAGUGCCAGAGGAACAAGAUUAGAAAACAAGAUGCUGAGAGGGGCGUGUAGAAAUGUAGUCAAUUGAUCAGGAACAGUCGGGUUGUGCACGAACUGGUCAUGGAAAGGAAUCCGAAGCAGGGUAAGUUGGAGACGGACCAGCUGCUUAGGUCUGCGGUCUGUUAAUGCUUCUGAACAUAUGAUUAUGUUUUUGGCGUGUUUUUUAAUCAAUUUCUUCUACGCCAUUGGCUGCAGUUUAUAUCAAUGUCUAUUGUCGUGAUAAUGCCUGACAUGUAUUGGCUACUGCGACAUAUUUUCUGAUAUAAUUAGAUCGAGGAAGUCGCUAACGAUGGUUCAAAGUUGAGAAAUAUUUUUGCUUCUCGGCCCACUUAAUGCUGCUUGUAAAAGGCUAUGCCAAAACUUAUGGAAGAAAAAGGUGACAGAAAUCCCUUCGUUUGUCAA